rnacentral:rRNA from 1 species
UACGAAGGGGGCUAGCGUUGUCCGGAAUUAUUGGGCGUAAAGAGCUCGUAGGCGGUCUGUUGCGUCGGCUGUGAAAACCCGGGGCUCAACUCCGGGCCUGCAGCCGAUACGGGCAGACUAGAGUUCGGCAGGGGAGACUGGAAUUCCUGGUGUAGCGGUGAAAUGCGCAGAUAUCAGGAGGAACACCCGUGGCGAAGGCGGUUCUCUGGGACGGUACUGACGCUGAGACGCGAAAGCGUGGGGAGCGAACAGG